CAUAAUUACUAAAAAAAAAAGUUAAAAAACAUACAAUGAUUGAAGAAGAUGCCUCACUGUACAAGAUUCCUCUAAUGUGGGUCUGGAGAAGGUCAAACUUAUGACACCUCACCCCUACUCCUGCAUUCAUAGAGCUAUUUCCACAACUCAAAUCUGUGACACAUGGCCUGCAGUAAGGCACUGGUGCUAAGGCUCACCCUCACAAAGAGUAAGUUGAUAUGACAUUAGGGUUCAUCUAUGUGCCAGCCAACGACUCAGAAACUACUGUUCUUUGGACACCUGAUGUAGCAGGUUUUUCCUGUGGUAAACAGAAAGGUUCCAGAACUACAGUACAAGAGGCAGAGUAUCACACUGAACAAGAAACCUCUGAGCAAAAAAUGACCUCUGUAAAAUCAGCAAACUAUUUGAAGCAAAAGAAAGCAAUUUUAGCUCAUUGCAAUCGAAGAUAAUGAUAGUUCAACAAGUAAAUCCUAAGUUUGUGAUUGAGAACGACAUGGGGAUGCAGCUUGAACCCACAGGACCGACGCUUUACCAGCAACCCUCUAAGCUUUAGCAUCGACCAUAGAAUUCCAGAAUUCUUCAAGCUGAGGAAAGCCAAAAUGUGAUCAAGAAAAGAACUCCUUAUGGAUCAUACCACAUUUUCCGGUUGAAAUAAUUAAGAGUUCCGUUUCAGUGGACUUUUACUUUUCUUAGACAUAGGAGAAUUCCUAGCCAUCACAAUUCGCUGAUGAAAUCAGCAUUUCAAUCCGAGGCGUGAAAAAGGAAGCUCGAGAUGAGUGGGGGGGGGGGGGGGGGGG